CAAAUUCUCUCUCUAAAAACCCAUCACUACUGCUCGUUGCCAUGGCGUUCUGUAACAGAGUGGUGUUAAUUCUCCUAGUUAUUUUCACAGUGUUUCGACUGAAAAUCGAUGCUCAAAAAUUACAAAUCGAUGGAAAACGAAGAUUGAUGAAGUGCAAAUUUGAUAAAAUUUAUCAAUUGGGUGAUUCAGUUUCCGAUACCGGAAACUGUAUCAGAGAAAGUUAUUGUGGAUCUCAUUCUUCCUGUGCAAAAUCACCUUAUGGAAUCAACUUUUUUCAUAAACCAACUGGGCGUUGUUCUAAUGGCUUGCUCAUAAUUGAUUUCUUAGCCCUGGAAUCUGGUCUUCCUCUCCUAAAUCCUUAUAAGGAUAAAAGUGCAAAUUUUAGACAUGGUGCAAAUUUUGCAGUAGUAGGGGCUACUGCUUUAUCAGCCCAAGUCAUGGCAGAGAAGAAGAUUGUUCUGUCCUUCACAAAUAGUUCAUUAGACAUUCAACUUGAUUGGAUGUCUUCUCAUUUCGAGACUACUUGCUCCCCCGAUUGCCCGGUACAGUUAAAGAAAUCGCUUUUUCUAGUUGGACAUAUAGGAGGAAAUGAUAUCAUUUAUGGCUUAUCGCAAGGUAAAACCAUGGAAGAGUUGCGAAGAUUGGUUCCACAUAUUGUUCAUACCAUCAUUCAUGGUGUUAAAAGAGUUAUUGGUUUUGGUGCAACUCGAAUUGUAGUUCCAGGGACUUUCCCAAAAGGUUGUGGUCCAGCUAUCCUAACGCAAUUCAUGAACAACGACUCAUCUUCUUACGAUGAGUACCAUUGCUUGAAAGAGUUGAAUAAUUUGACGAUCUUCUAUAAUGAUCAUUUGCAACGAGCCGUUGAGGAGAUGAAGAAAGAGUAUACAAACAUUACACUCGUUUAUGGUGACUAUUACAACGCGUAUAUGUGGUUUCUACAAAAUGCUGUCACUCUUGGAUUUGAUAAAAAUUCUCUACAGAAAGCAUGUUGUGGAGUAGGAGGAGAAUAUAAUUACGAUAAAAAUAGAAAAUGUGGAGCUCAGG
rnacentral:misc_RNA from 1 species